UACGUAGGGGGCAAGCGUUGUUCGGAAUUACUGGGCGUAAAGGGCGCGUAGGCGGCACAGCAAGUCGGGAGUGAAAGCCCGGGGCUCAACCCCGGAAUGCUUUCGAAACUGCUGAGCUAGAGUACAGAAGGGGCAACCGGAAUUCCCAGUGUAGCGGUGAAAUGCGUAGAUAUUGGGAAGAACACCUGAGGCGAAGGCGGGUUGCUGGGCUGAUGACUGACGCUGAGGCGCGAAAGCCAGGGGAGCAAACGGG
rnacentral:rRNA from 1 species